GACGAACGCUGGCGGCGUGCUUAACACAUGCAAGUCGAACGGAAAGGCCCUGCUUUUGUGGGGUGCUCGAGUGGCGAACGGGUGAGUAACACGUGGGUAACCUGCCCUUGACUUUGGGAUAACUUCAGGAAACUGGGGCUAAUACCGGAUAGGAGCUCCUGCUGCAUGGUGGGGGUUGGAAAGUUUCGGCGGUUGGGGAUGGACUCGCGGCUUAUCAGCAUGUUGGUGGGGUAGUGGCUUACCAAGGCUUUGACGGGUAGCCGGCCUGAGAGGGUGACCGGCCACAUUGGGACUGAGAUACGGCCCAGACUCCUACGGGAGGCAGCAGUGGGGAAUAUUGCACAAUGGGCGGAAGCCUGAUGCAGCAACGCCGCGUGCGGGAUGACGGCCUUCGGGUUGUAAACCGCUUUCGCCUGUGACGAAGCGUGAGUGACGGUAAUGGGUAAAGAAGCACCGGCUAACUACGU
rnacentral:rRNA from 1 species